rnacentral:siRNA from 1 species
AUCGCCGAAAACUCUGACCAAAAC